AACGAACGCUGGCGGCAUGCCUAACACAUGCAAGUCGAACGAGACCUUCGGGUCUAGUGGCGCACGGGUGCGUAACGCGUGGGAACCUGCCCUUAGGUUCGGAAUAACUCCCCGAAAGGGGUGCUAAUACCGGAUAAUGUCUUCGGACCAAAGAUUUAUCGCCUUUGGAUGGGCCCGCGUUGGAUUAGCUAGUUGGUAGGGUAAAAGCCUACCAAGGCUACGAUCCAUAGCUGGUCUGAGAGGAUGAUCAGCCACACUGGGACUGAGACACGGCCCAGACUCCUACGGGAGGCAGCAGUGGGGAAUAUAGGACAAUGGGCGAAAGCCUGAUCCAGCAAUGCCGGGUGAGUGAUGAAGGCCUUAGGGUUGUAAAGCUCUUUUACCCGGGAUAAUAAUGACAGUACCGGGAGAAUAAGCACCGGCUAACUCCGUG
rnacentral:rRNA from 1 species